rnacentral:rRNA from 1 species
UACAGAGGUCUCAAGCGUUGUUCGGAUUCAUUGGGCGUAAAGGGUGCGUAGGUGGCGCCGUAAGUCGGGUGUGAAAUUUCGGAGCUUAACUCCGAAACUGCAUUCGAUACUGCGGUGCUUGAGGACUGGAGAGGAGACUGGAAUUCCCGGUGUAGCGGUGGAAUGCGUAGAGAUCGGGAAGAACAUCAGUGGCGAAGGCGGGUCUCUGGACAGUUCCUGACGCUGAGGCACGAAGGCCAGGGGAGCAAACGGG